AUAGCCAUAGCUCAAUUGGUAGAGCAGCGGAUUCCAAAUCCGAAGGUUCUAGGUUCGAGUCCUAGUGGUUAUGCCA
rnacentral:tRNA from 1 species